rnacentral:lncRNA from 1 species
CAAACCGGUCCAACCACCUGUCGACAGAUUGUAGAAAAAGGAUAGCAUAAUGCAGCGUUUCUUACUAAUAAAACCGAAAGUGUGGAGGCAGGAGGCAGGAACGCCAUUGCUUGAUCGCCAUGAAAAGAUAGUAUGAAAUAAUGUCUCCUCCUCCACACCACUUGCCUACAUACUUUCUUUUCAUCAUCGUGCUACUUUUGGAGGCAAGGAUUUGAUGCGCCUUAAGAUGGCUGCGUCGUGCAAUUUCAUCAUUGGUACGCAGAUUGUUCGGUCUAUGAGAUGCCAUGAAGAAUAUGUAAGAAAGGGACCAAGGGGGAGAGAAAAAAAGUGAGCUAAUAAGAUAGCCCGUGCUUUUUCAGUGAGGGGUCAAUAUCAUCAAGGGUGAUAUGCGAAAGUGAGCACAUCAUUCGAUCGAGUUAGACACGAUUAGAAGUUUCAUAUAAAAAAAGCGAUAUGUAGACUUGUCAAAAAAAAAAAAGAACCGACAUGAGAGGUAAUAACAUUGUGCGGUCGAGUAAAGGCGAAAUGGGGCCGUGAAAGGUGUACUGAUUGGGCAGCAGUCUAGUCUCUGCAUUUUGACACAGUGAGUCUUCCAGUGUCAUUAGAAGAGUGUUAUCUUUUAUUGCUAGCAAUUCAAGCUUACACCAGGUUGAACCCCGUUUAUGCGUUUGGCUAUAUAACCUAGAUAAAUGGCAAAUAAUCAUUUCAAAAUAAUGCUUCAGCCGUACAUAAGUAAUUUUUCACGAGCAAUGAGAACCAGCUAUAAGCCAUCUGAAAAUUUGUUUUUGGUAAGUCAAUUUUUUGGGUAACUAGAUUAAGAUUGGCCGUCUUUCUUUCUUCUUCCUUCAGUUUUCUUCCUCCUCCGACUUACCCAGAUUGCAAAUUCAAUCAACUUAUACAGUGUUAUCGUGACAUACUCC